rnacentral:rRNA from 1 species
GACGUAGGGUCCGAGCGUUGUCCGGAGUUACUGGGCGUAAAGGGCGCGUAGGCGGUUAUCUGCGUCACACGUGAAAGCCCCUGGCUCAACCAGGGAGGGUCGUGUGAAACGGGGUAACUGGAGGCAGAGAGAGGCUGGUGGAAUUCCCGGAGUAGUGGUGAAAUGCGUAGAUAUUCGGAAGAACACCAGUGGCGAAGGCGACUUACUGGACACAUAUUGACGCUGAGGUGCGAAAGCGUGGGGAGCAAACAGG